UGCAAGUCGAGCGGACAGAAGGGAGCUUGCUCCCGGAUGUUAGCGGCGGACGGGUGAGUAACACGUGGGUAACCUGCCUGUAAGACUGGGAUAACUCCGGGAAACCGGAGCUAAUACCGGAUAGUUCCUUGAACCGCAUGGUUCAAGGAUGAAAGACGGUUUCGGCUGUCACUUACAGAUGGACCCGCGGCGCAUUAGCUAGUUGGUGAGGUAACGGCUCACCAAGGCGACGAUGCGUAGCCGACCUGAGAGGGUGAUCGGCCACACUGGGACUGAGACACGGCCCAGACUCCUACGGGAGGCAGCAGUAGGGAAUCUUCCGCAAUGGACGAAAGUCUGACGGAGCAACGCCGCGUGAGUGAUGAAGGUUUUCGGAUCGUAAAGCUCUGUUGUUAGGGAAGAACAAGUGCAAGAGUAACUGCUUGCACCUUGACGGUACCUAACCAGAAAGCCACGGCUAACUACGUGCCAGCAGCCGCGGUAAUACGUAGGUGGCAAGCGUUGUCCGGAAUUAUUGGGCGUAAAGGGCUCGCAGGCGGUUUCUUAAGUCUGAUGUGAAAGCCCCCGGCUCAACCGGGGAGGGUCAUUGGAAACUGGGAAACUUGAGUGCAGAAGAGGAGAGUGGAAUUCCACGUGUAGCGGUGAAAUGCGUAGAGAUGUGGAGGAACACCAGUGGCGAAGGCGACUCUCUGGUCUGUAACUGACGCUGAGGAGCGAAAGCGUGGGGAGCGAACAGGAUUAGAUACCCUGGUAGUCCACGCCGUAAACGAUGAGUGCUAAGUGUUAGGGGGUUUCCGCCCCUUAGUGCUGCAGCUAACGCAUUAAGCACUCCGCCUGGGGAGUACGGUCGCAAGACUGAAACUCAAAGGAAUUGACGGGG
rnacentral:rRNA from 1 species